rnacentral:misc_RNA from 1 species
UUAAGUUCAGCGGGUAUCCCUACCCGAUCCGAGGUCAACCUGUGAAUGGGUUUCACGGCGCGGAUCGCCCGUCUCGCCAGCGAAUGUUUGCCACGACGCUGAGAUUCGGACCGUCCGGCCGACGAUUUUGGGGCCCGGGUCGCCCCCGUGGCCCAACACCAAGCGAGGCUUGAGUGGUGAAAUGACGCUCGAACGGGCAU